rnacentral:lncRNA from 1 species
CUCACUCCACGUACGGCGCCGGGGGGACCGGGUCCUUGCGCCGGUUUCCGCUUCUCGUGGGUCCUGCGGCGGCGGCGGCGGCCAAGCGGCGUUCACCAGGGAGUCGGUGAGCGCGCGGACUGUCCCGAGGCCAAGCUGGGGCCGUUCCAGGGUGCUCGGUCCGGUGGUCACGGGGCCUGGAGGCCCCUGGGCCCGCGGAGGCCGCGGCCGGGCUCUGUCAGCCAGCUCGGCGUUGGACACUCGCCUUACUCGCGGCUCCUAACGGGGCGGGCCGGGGGCACAGCCCUCGUCCGCCGCCAUUGCCACUUGACGUCGUGUCACGUAGGCUCGGCGGAGUAGCAGCGCGCAUGCGCGGCCUGCCUGUCAGUAACCACGUGAUGGACCCGGAAGCCCGAGGGCAGAUGCUAAAUGAUGGCCAUUUGACAUUUGCGUGUGUUCACUAUGGAUAGUUUUACCAAGUACAUUGAUUUGGGCCCUUACAGCUUACAAAGUAAAGAUAACACUUACUCCUCCAAGAAAUUGAUUUCAGCUAAGCAAAACAUUGAUACAGGGCUAUAAUGGAAGUGUUGGACUCAUAAACGUUUUAUGAAAUCAGUGUGUGUGUAUUACAGAAAUCAGAAAUGAGAAGUAAGAACAUGUCUGGGAGAGUGUGACAUAAGAAAAAUAACUUGUAGGCGUAUUUAACAGACAGCAGCAGUUCUCAGGAUUCCCCAUGUUAGAGCCUUCCUUCCUGUCCUCUGAGAAAUGAAAAUGAAAUCCAAAGACCCCCAACUGACUACACGAACCCCCUACUGGCUAAGGAGAUCCCAGGGUUGCCUUGAAGGCAGUUCUCAGCCAUGACAGAUGGGAGUUUCGGCCCAAUUGACCAGUAUUCCUUACUGAUAAGAGACACUGACCAUGGAGUGGUUCUGGUGAGAUGACAUGACCCUCGUGAAGGGGCCUGAAGCUUCAUUGUGUUUGUUCUCCCUCUGUUGCCGAGGCUGGACUGUACUGCCGUGAUCUCGGCUUGCUGCAACCUCCCUGCCUCGGGCUCCCAUGAUUCUCCUGCCUCAGCCUGCCGAGUGCCUGGGAUUGCAGGCAUGCGCCACCACGCCUGACUGGUUUUUGUAUUUUUGGUGGAGAUGGGGUUUCGCUGUGUUGGCCGGGCUGGUCUCCAG